UCCUGGGUGAGCGCCAGACGCCUGGGGUCCGUUUGCCGCCUGCUGAGACUAGACAAGGACCCCGGGAGGGCGACGUUGGGGGAGAGGGCUACGGAUGGAGGUCCCGCCGCGCUUGGGCCGGGUCCGGAGCCACCAGGACGCACAGCGGGCAUGUCAGAGCAUCUGUCCUGGUUUCCCUCAUUCUCAGUCAGGUGGUUGAGUUAUCCAAGCCUUCAUAACCAGAGGGUCUGAGCACUUGUUGGACUGUGCUUACUGCAGCUUCUCAUUUACAAUUACCACUGCACCUGAGAGUACCAAGAGAUUCCUGAGCCAGAGAUUACGAUUUCCAACUUCCAGCUCCUCAAGAUGGAGAAACAGAGGGAAGAAGAGACUUGGAAUCACUCUGUCCUGGCUGUGGGUCUAUGAAAAAGAAUGUGGCCUACUGCUAAAUACAUUGAUUUUGAAGCUAGAUAGCUCUGGUUUUGGGGAGCAAGUGAUUUGAUCUCUCAGAGACUCAGCUACUUCAUCAGUAAACAGAGAUUACCAUAUCCACCAGUAAUGGCUAUAGGAGCAGUAAUAGGGAUGAUAUAGGUGAAAGCACUGAUCACUGAAUGAUUCCAAAGACAGGUGCAGAGAGGUUCAGGCAUCAGACAGGCUACCUGGAUCCAAAUCCCAGCUCCAUCAUUUACUACUUUCAUGGCCUUUACAAACCACUAAACUUCUCUCUGAGCUUCAAUUUUCCCAUCUGUAACAUGGGAACUAAUAAAAUGAAACCUUCCUAAUAAAGUUGCCAGGAAGAUUCAUUGAGACAUUGAAUGUAAAGUAUUUAACUCAAUAUAGAGCACAGGGGAGCACCAAAUAAAAUUCAGGUGUUACAUUUUUAAGCACGUGUUCACCAAGGCUCCCGAGGUGCAGUCUGUGUCCCCGUCCUUGACUCUGAGAAUCCCUGUGAUCAACAGAAUGCAGAAAAGUGACACUGCAUGGCUUCUGAGGCUAGGUCCAGAAAAGGUGAUGCAGCUUCCCCCUUUGCGCUGAAAUGCAGUGCUUGGACCUCAGAGCU
rnacentral:lncRNA from 1 species